GGCUGGAUAGCUCAGCGGUUAGAGCAAACGUUUCAUAAGCGUUAGGCCGGGAGUUCGAAUCUCCCUCCAGCCA
rfam:Microgenomates (Roizmanbacteria) bacterium GW2011_GWA2_35_19 TR68_C0001, whole genome shotgun sequence.